GUGAGGAAUAUUGGUCAAUGGGCGCAAGCCUGAACCAGCCAUCCCGCGUGCAGGAAGACGGCGCUAUGCGUUGUAAACUGCUUUUCCAGGGAGAGAAACUUGCGCACGUGUUGCGCAAUUGACGGUACCCUGGGAAUAAGCAUCGGCUAACUCCGUGCCAGCAGCCGCGGUAAUACGGAGGAUGCGAGCGUUAUCCGGAUUCAUUGGGUUUAAAGGGUGCGUAGGCGGACUAUUAAGUCAGUGGUGAAAUCCUGCAGCUUAACUGCAGAACUGCCAUUGAUACUGAUAGCCUUGAGUUUGGUUAAGGUAGGCGGAAUGUGUAAUGUAGCGGUGAAAUGCUUAGAUAUUACACAGAACACCAAUUGCGUAGGCAGCUUACUGAGCCGACACUGACGCUGAGGCACGAAAGCGUGGGGAUCGAACAGGAUUAGAUACCCCAGUAGUCC
rnacentral:rRNA from 1 species